rnacentral:rRNA from 1 species
UUCAGAGGGUACAAGCGUUGUCCGGAAUCACUGGGCGUAAAGGGCGCGUAGGCGGCCUGAUAAGUAGGAGGUGAAAUCCUGGGGCUUAACCUCAGGGCUGCCUUCUAGACUGUCCGGCUUGAGUACAGUAGAGGCAGGUGGAAUUCCCGGUGUAGCGGUGGAAUGCGUAGAGAUCGGGAAGAACAUCGGUGGCGAAGGCGGCCUGCUGGGCUGUUGCUGACGCUGAGGCGCGACAGCGUGGGGAGCAAACAGG